rnacentral:rRNA from 1 species
GGCUCAGGAUGAACGCUAGCUACAGGCUUAACACAUGCAAGUCGAGGGGCAGCAUUAACGAAAGCUUGCUUUUGUUAGAUGGCGACCGGCGCACGGGUGAGUAACGCGUAUCCAACCUGCCAUAUACAGAGGGAUAGCCUUGCGAAAGUAAGAUUAAUACCUCAUGGUUUAUAUUUGCCGCAUGGCGGAUAUAAUAAAGAUUUAUCGGUAUAUGAUGGGGAUGCGUCCCAUUAGAUAGUCGGCGGGGUAACGGCCCACCGAGUCGACGAUGGGUAGGGGUUCUGAGAGGAAGGUCCCCCACAUUGGAACUGAGACACGGUCCAAACUCCUACGGGAGGCAGCAGUGAGGAAUAUUGGUCAAUGGACGAGAGUCUGAACCAGCCAAGUAGCGUGCAGGAGGACGGCCCUAUGGGUUGUAAACUGCUUUAGUAUGGGAAUAAAGUCAUCUACGCGUGGAUGUUUGCAUGUACCAUAAGAAUAAGGACCGGCUAAUUCCGUGCCAGCAGCCGCGGUAAUACGGAAGGUCCGGGCGUUAUCCGGAUUUAUUGGGUUUAAAGGGAGCGUAGGCGGAUUUUUAAGUCAGUUGUGAAAGUUCACGGCCCAACCGUGAAAUUGCAGUUGAAACUGAAAGUCUUGAGUGCACGCAGGGAUGCUGGAAUUCGUGGUGUAGCGGUGAAAUGCUUAGAUAUCACGAAGAACUCCGAUCGCGAAGGCAUGUGUCCGGAGUGCAACUGACGCUGAGGCUCGAAAGUGUGGGUAUCAAACAGGAUUAGAUACCCUGGUAGUCCACACAGUAAA